rnacentral:rRNA from 1 species
GAUGAACGCUAGCGGCAGGCUUAAUACAUGCAAGUCGUGGGGCAGCAGGUCUGUAGCAAUACAGAUGCUGGCGACCGGCAAACGGGUGCGGAACACGUACACAACUUUCCUUUAAGUGGGGAAUAGCCCAGAGAAAUUUGGAUUAAUACCCCGUAACAUAGUGAAAAGGCAUCUUUUUAUUAUUAUAGCAGCAAUGCGCUUAAUGAUGGGUGUGCGUCUGAUUAGGUAGUUGGCGGAGUAAUAGCCCACCAAGCCUACGAUCAGUAACUGGUGUGAGAGCACGACCAGUCACACGGGCACUAAGACACGGGCCCGACUCCUACGGGAGGCAGCAGUAAGGAAUAUUGGGCAAUGGACGCAAGUCUGACCCAGCCAUGCCGCGUGGAGGAUGAAGGUCUUCGGAUUGUAAACUCCUGUUGCCCGGGACGAAAUGCUCUGACCUAACACAUCGGAGUUUGACGGUACCGGGUGAGGAAGCCCCGGCUAACUCUGUGCCAGCCGCCGCGGUAAAAC